CUACAGGCCACUCCCUCCACUCACCUGAACCUGAGCAACGCCCCAGGGCCAAGCCCUCUGCCCCAAUCCUAAAGCUUACAUUACAUGGAGGCAGAGAAAAGAAAUCCAAAGACCCCUAAGCCUCCUUUGGAAAAUUCCAAAAUUCCAAACCAAGAGGCGUGCGCAACAGGCCCACCGCCAUGACCUGAAGUAACCUUUCUUCACCUGGAGCUCAUAGAACGUUCGGGUGUAUGGACUGCAUCUCUUGCAUCCAAUUCUGACAGUGAAUUAUGGAAAAGGACAUGUGCAGUAGGUGCAGCUGACAUGACUCAGCGCCCUGUCAAUCCUGUCAGUCACAAUCUUGAAGACCCCAAAGGGAGGCACCCCAGAACCUGUGCAGCAUUUUAAACCCCUGCACCUUAUGCCCCCAGUGCCCAGGCCAUUUUCCUGUCACAGGUGAGAGCCUGCUGUCUGAGUGCACUAUCACCUUAAUAAACCUUGCUGCUGUUUCGUUGCCUUAGUGUGCCAUGUCCAGCUCUUUGUUCAUCUCAUGCAAGAACCUAGGAGCCUGUUCCAGAUCCCAUCACCCACAGUAGCACAGUGAUCCUCAGUCCAAAAUGCCCCAGCCUAAGGUUUUCCAGACUUAAAACACAGAGGUCACUAAUGUAUGGCCCCAUAAACAUCUAGAUGUCUUCAGAGCCGUCAAGUACAAUAUAUGCCCCAGCCACACUCAUAGACAUUGCACAUUCAUACACACGAUGGAAUGCUAUUGGGCUUUUGGACAAAAAAGGAAACCGUGUCAUUUGCAACAAUAUGGAUCUACCCAGAGGACAUCAUGUCGAGGGAAAUAAACCAGGCACAGAAGGCAAAUACUAUGUAAUCUCAUUCAUGCAUGGAAUUAAGAGCCAAUUCAUAAAGCAGAGGAUAGAAUAGUGGCUACCGGGGGCUGGGAGAAGUGGAAAGAUGUUGGUCAAAGGAUAAAGUUUCAGUUAGAUGGAGAGACAAGUCCUGGAGGUUUACUGUAUAGCAUGAUGAUAGAGUAAAUAAGAAUAGUCAACUUCUAACCAGGGGGGCAUUUGUUCCAGGACGCCUGAAGGAUACCAAAAUCCACAAAUGCUCAAGUUCUUUACCCAAAGUGUCAUAAUUGUACAUAAUCUACAUUCAUCCUCUUGCAUACUUUCACUCACCUCUAGAUUACUUAUGAUACCUAAUACAGUGUAAAUGCCAUGUGAUAAUGGUUAGACUGUAUUGUUUAGGGGAUAACACGAAAAAGGGUGUGUAUAUAUUCAGUACAGAUGCAUCCGUUUUAGGGCUAAUUACCUUUCUGACCCUCUGUUGGUUGAAUCCGUGGGUGUCAAACCUUGGGGUUCAGGGGGUCAACACCAUUGCAAUGUCAAAAUUGCUAAGAGACUAGAUGUUAAAUGUUCCCACCACAAAAAAGUCUGUGAGGUGAUGCACAUGUUAAUUAGCUUGAUUUAAUCAUUUCACGAUGCAUACAUGUAUCAGAAUAUCAAGUUGCACACUGUAAAUAUGUGCAAUUUUAGUCUGUAAAUUAUACCUUAAUAGAGCUGGGGAAAAUAAGAUAAAAUUAAAAGGGAUAAGGGCCGGG
ensembl:lncRNA